rnacentral:rRNA from 1 species
UUACUGGGUGUAAAGCGCGUGCAGGCGGUUUCGUAAGUUAGGCGUGAAAGCGCUCAGGCUCAACCGGGCGAGGACGUGUAAAACUGCGGAACUAGAGGGAGGUAGAGGCGUGUGGAAUUCCGGGUGUAGUGGUGAAAUGCGUAGAGAUCCGGAGGAACACCAGUGGCGAAGGCGACACGCUGGGCCUCACCUGACGCUAAGACGCGAAAGCAUGGGGAGCGAACGGGAUUAGAAACCCCGGUAGUCCAUGCCGUAAACGAUGCUUACUAAGUGUUGCGCCUUAACCGGUGCGGUGCUGCAGCCAACGUGAUUAGUAAGCCACCUGGGGAGUACGCACGCAAGUGUGAAACUCAAAGGAAUUGACGGGGGCCCGCACAAGCGGUGGAGUAUGUGGUUUAAUUCGAUGCAACGCGAAGAACCUUACCAGGGCUUGACAUCCCGCGAAUCAGAGUGAAAGCUCUGAGUGCCUUCGGGAACGCGGAGACAGGUGGUGCAUGGCUGUCGUCAGCUCGUGUCGUGAGAUGUUGGGUUAAGUCCCGCAACGAGCGCAACCCUCGUCCUUAGUUGCCAGCAUUAAGUUGGGCACUUUAGGGAGACUGCCGGUGACAAACCGGGGGAAGGUGGGGAUGACGUCAAGUCAGCAUGCCCCUUACGCUCUGGGCUACACACGUACUACAAUGGUUGGGACAAAGGGCAGCAAGCUCGCGAGAGUAAGCGAAUCUCAGCAAACCCAGCCUCAGUUCAGAUUGCAGGCUGCAACUCGCCUGCAUGAAGGAGGAAUCGCUAGUAAUCGCAGGU